rfam:Jatropha curcas cultivar GZQX0401 scaffold122_70, whole genome shotgun sequence.
AUCGCCUCCGAAUAACCAGAAGGUUGAUUUAAUCAAUGCCGUUUGGUUCAGACAGAGGCGAAGAACAACCUGAAUCUGUUUGAGGGUAAGGAAAUUUCCAUCUGUUUUCCCCAACCUAGAUCGAUUCAAAUAUUU